GACGAACGCUGGCGGCGUGCCUAAUACAUGCAAGUCGAGCGAAGUUUUUCUGGUGCUUGCCCUAGAAAAACUUAGCGGCGAACGGGUGAGUAACACGUAAAGAACCUGCCUCAUAGACUGGGACAACUAUUGGAAACGAUAGCUAAUACCGGAUAACAGCAUUAACUGCAUGGUUGAUGUUUAAAAGUUGGUUUUGCUAACACUAUGAGAUGGCUUUGCGGUGCAUUAGCUAGUUGGUGGGGUAAAGGCCUACCAAGGCGACGAUGCAUAGCCGACCUGAGAGGGUGAUCGGCCACACUGGGACUGAGACACGGCCCAGACUCCUACGGGAGGCAGCAGUAGGGAAUCUUCCGCAAUGGGCGAAAGCCUGACGGAGCAACGCCGCGUGAGUGAAGAAGGAUUUCGGUUCGUAAAGCUCUGUUGUUAGGGAAGAAUGAUUGUGUAGUAACUGUACACAGUAGAGACGGUACCUAACCAGAAAGCCACGGCUAACUACGUG
rnacentral:rRNA from 1 species